GAUGAAAAGCACUUUGGAAAGAGAGUUAAAAAGUACGUGAAAUUGUUGAAAGGGAAGCGCUUGCAGCCAGACUUGUCCGCAGUUGCUCAGCCGGUCUCCUGACCGGUGUACUCUUCUGCGGCCAGGCCAGCAUCAGUUCGGGCGGUCGGAUAAAGGCCUUGGGAACGUAGCUCCUCUCGGGGAGUGUUAUAGCCCAGGGUGCAAUGCGGCCAGCCUGGACUGAGGAUCUCGCUUCGGCUAGGAUGCUGGCGUAAUGGCUGUAAGCGGCCCGUCUUGAAACACGGACCAAGGAGUCUAACAUCUAUGCGAGUGUUUGGGUGUCAAACCCAUACGCGUAAUGAAAGUGAACGGAGGUGGGAACCCUCACGGGUGCACCAUCGACCGAUCCUGAUGUCUUCGGAUGGAUUUGAGUAAGAGCAUAGCUGUUGGGACCCGAAAGAUGGUGAACUAUGCCUGAAUAGGGUGAAGCCAGAGGAAACUCUGGUGGAGGCUCGCAGCGGUUCUGACGUGCAAAUCGAUCGUCAAAUUUGGGUAUAGGGGCGAAAGACUAAUCGAACCAUUAACUACUAGGUGGUUAAGAGGCGGCCUGGAAAGAGGCCGCCUAGUCCCUCCGUACGGGGCGACACUGUCAAAUUGCCGGGGACAUCCUUAGAGCCUCUAAUACCGCGGCCGCGUCGAAAGGCGCCGGUGCAGCACCGGGUUAACGACCCCGGGGACGGUAACAACUUAGAGGAUUGGACGAUCCGCAGCCAAGCUCCUAAACCGCCGGUCGGGCGGCACGGAGAAGGUCCACAGACUAGAUGGCAGUGGGUUCGGCCUCGCGGAGGCCGGGCCUAAGAUAUAGUCGACCCCCCGCGGAAACGCGGGCGGGCGGGCGAAGCCUUCCCAGGCGGAUGGGCGACCUCUCCCCGGCGGAGAGGCCGCGCCUGGGGGCCCGAACCCGUCCGGGGGCGGCCUGCUGGCCGCUCCGAGCUAC
rnacentral:rRNA from 1 species